GCAUUAAUGGGGUAGUGGUAACCUGGGUCGUUGCCAUCUGGAAUUGGCCAUGAUGUGUCGCUUUUCGACCCGCCGGGGGUUCGAUUCCCUCUUAAUGCA